UACGUAGGGUGCAAGCGUUUAAUCGGAAUUACUGGGCGUAAAGCGUGCGCAGGCGGCUAUGCAAGACAGAUGUGAAAUCCCCGGGCUCAACCUGGGAACUGCAUUUGUGACUGCAUGGCUAGAGUGCGGCAGAGGGGGAUGGAAUUCCGCGUGUAGCAGUGAAAUGCGUAGAUAUGCGGAGGAACACCGAUGGCGAAGGCAAUCCCCUGGGCCUGCACUGACGCUCAUGCACGAAAGCGUGGGGAGCAAACAGG
rnacentral:rRNA from 1 species